UAGGAGCUUAGGCUCCCAAAGGCA
rnacentral:snRNA from 1 species